CCCAUACAAUCACCGAAGUUUAGCAACAUCAAGCCUGAUCAGUACUUAGAUGGGUGAUCACUUGGGAAUACCAGGUGCUGUAA